rnacentral:rRNA from 1 species
UACGUAGGGUGCGAGCGUUAAUCGGAAUUACUGGGCGUAAAGCGUGCGCAGGCGGUGAUGUAAGACCGAUGUGAAAUCCCCGGGCUUAACCUGGGAACUGCAUUGGUGACUGCAUCGCUCGAGUAUGGCAGAGGGGGGUAGAAUUCCACGUGUAGCAGUGAAAUGCGUAGAGAUGUGGAGGAAUACCUAUGGCGAAGGCAGCCCCCUGGGUCAAUACUGACGCUCAUGCACGAAAGCGUGGGGAGCAAACAGG